GAUGAACGCUGGCGGCGUGCUUAACACAUGCAAGUCGAACGGGAAUUAUUUUAUUGGAACUUCGGUCGAUUUAAUUUAAUUCUAGUGGCGGACGGGUGAGUAACGCGUGGGUAACCUGCCUUAUACAGGGGGAUAACAGUCAGAAAUGGCUGCUAAUACCGCAUAAGCGCACAGAGCUGCAUGGCUCAGUGUGAAAAACUCCGGUGGUAUAAGAUGGACCCGCGUUGGAUUAGCUGGUUGGUGGGGUAACGGCCCACCAAGGCGACGAUCCAUAGCCGGCCUGAGAGGGUGAACGGCCACAGUGGGACUGAGACACGGCCCAGACUCCUACGGGAGGCAGCAGUGGGGAAUAUUGCACAAUGGGGGAAACCCUGAUGCAGCGACGCCGCGUGAAGGAAGAAGUAUCUCGGUAUGUAAACUUCUAUCAGCAGGGAAGAUAGUGACGGUACCUGACGAAGAAGCCCCGGCUAACUACGUG
rnacentral:rRNA from 1 species